UACGUAGGGGGCAAGCGUUAUCCGGAUUUACUGGGUGUAAAGGGAGCGUAGACGGUUAUGUAAGUCUGGAGUGAAAGCCCGGGGCCCAACCCCGGGACUGCUUUGGAAACUGUGUAACUGGAGUACAGGAGGGGCAGGCGGAAUUCCUGGUGUAGCGGUGAAAUGCGUAGAUAUCAGGAGGAACACCGAUGGCGAAGGCAGCUCUCUGGGCCGUCACUGACGCUGAGGCGCGAAAGCUGGGGGAGCGAACAGG
rnacentral:rRNA from 1 species